rnacentral:rRNA from 1 species
AGAGUUUGAUCCUGGCUCAGAGCGAACGCUGGCGGCAGGCCUAACACAUGCAAGUCGAACGAACUCUUCGGAGUUAGUGGCGGACGGGUGAGUAACACGUGGGAACGUGCCUUUAGGUUCGGAAUAACUCAGGGAAACUUGAGCUAAUACCGAAUGUGCCCUUCGGGGGAAAGAUUUAUCGCCUUUAGAGCGGCCCGCGUCUGAUUAGCUAGUUGGUGGGGUAAUGGCCCACCAAGGCUACGAUCAGUAGCUGGUCUGAGAGGAUGACCAGCCACAUUGGGACUGAGACACGGCCCAAACUCCUACGGGAGGCAGCAGUGGGGAAUCUUGCGCAAUGGGCGAAAGCCUGACGCAGCCAUGCCGCGUGUAUGAUGAAGGUCUUAGGAUUGUAAAAUACUUUCACCGGUGAAGAUAAUGACUGUAGCCGGAGAAGAAGCCCCGGCUAACUUCGUGCCAGCAGCCGCGGUAAUACGAAGGGGGCUAGCGUUGCUCGGAAUUACUGGGCGUAAAGGGAGCGUGGGCGGACAUUUAAGUCAGAGGUGAAAUCCCGGAGCUUAACUUCGGAACUGCCUUUGAUACUGGGUGUCUUGAGUGUGAGAGAGGUAUGUGGAACUCCGAGUGUAGAGGUGAAAUUCGUAGAUAUUCGGAAGAACACCAGUGGCGAAGGCGACAUACUGGCUCAUUACUGACGCUGAGGCUCGAAAGCGUGGGGAGCAAACAGGAUUAGAUACCCUGGUAGUCC